AUUUAAUAAAGUUGUUAUAUCUAACGAACUAAUAAAAAAUUGACAGAAGAGUGGUAUGAAUUGCAGAUUCAGGAACAAAUAAAAUAUCUUCACUGCUUGUAUUUAAUUUUUCAAUUAUAACUAUGUUUUUUAGCAGAUAUUUUAUAAGUAAGAAUUACCUGAAAUUGAAAAAUAAAAAUUGUAAUAGGCUAAACGUAUGCACCUAAGAAAAGUUGUUCAGUUAAUCUUUGCUGGACAUAAAUACACUUAGGUCUUAAUAAAUGAGUUACACCUUCUGUUGUGUGCAACCAAGGAAAAAAAGUUAGAAAUGUAAAAAAAUGACAUUGUAAUAUUACACAAAAAAGCCUUUGUAUCCACAAAUUAAAAUGUAUUUGCAAAAGGAAGUAACUAGUUCAUGUAUAUAUUAUUGAACUAUUUCAGUUACAUUGCCUACAUAACGCUUUUCAUAUUUUGAACUAAUGCUUUUUGAUUUUUAUUAAUGCUCUUUUCUUUUAAAUAGCUAUUUUCAGUGACAGUAGUAUAACAAAUGGUUUAGGACCUAAUCAUUUUGUCCCUGGAAACAAAAUUUCUUGAUGGUUUUAAACAGAUUCAAUCCAUCACGUUUGUUAGGUCGAUUCCCAUUAUAUUUCCAAGAGGUGAAGAAUGAGACAAAUAAGGACCUGAUUUUUCUCUCAGCAAUGUAAAAGCUUUAAGAUGUGCGAUUCUACCAUUAUUUCCCAACAGUUUUGCCAUGCUUUUUGUCAUAUUCACAGUGAAAUGUGCCAUAGUGGUGGAAAGACUGAGUGCAUAUAUCAUGAACAUAACUGAAGUAUGCUGAAGACUGCCAUUCUGAGACAUUAAAUGCAGGUGUUAAAAUGCACCUUGCAGUGUUUUCCUGCAAAUAAAUGCAAGCCUCAUAAGCAUUGGUGAUAAAAGUCACUCUCUCAUAGCUCCGUACUUUUAUAAUACCAAUGUACUGCAUAACACGAAUCAGUAAUCCUAGAUAAAUGUUACUAUACAUUAGCUCUAGACUGUUCACUGGCACGUUCUCAUGCUGAUUUUCAUUGUGGGCCUCUCACUAAGUAUUUCAACUAACAUUACAUAUCUAAGAAACAGCAUGACUAUUCAAAGAACAAUCUGUUCUUUGGAUUCACCAAUACAGAAACUUCUAAACAAAGUACUAAUCACCUGUGGUUUACUAAUCUGUCCCAGCA
rnacentral:lncRNA from 1 species